AUUGAACGCUGGCGGCAGGCCUAACACAUGCAAGUCGAGCGGUAGAGAGGUGCUUGCAUCUCUUGAGAGCGGCGGACGGGUGAGUAAUGCCUAGGAAUCUGCCUAGUGGUGGGGGAUAACGUUCGGAAACGGACGCUAAUACCGCAUACGUCCUACGGGAGAAAGCGGGGGGAUCUUCGGACCUCGCGCCAUUAGAUGAGCCUAGGUCGGAUUAGCUAGUUGGUGAGGUAAUGGCUCACCAAGGCGACGAUCCGUAACUGGUCUGAGAGGAUGAUCAGUCACACUGGAACUGAGACACGGUCCAGACUCCUACGGGAGGCAGCAGUGGGGGAAUAUUGGGACAAAUGGGCGAAAGCCUGAUCCAGCCAUGCCGCGUGUGUGAAGAAGGUCUUCGGAUUGUAAAGCACUUUAAGUUGGUAGGAAGGGCGAGUAAGGUUAAUACCUUAGCUGUUUUGACGUUACCAAC
rnacentral:rRNA from 1 species